CCUACCCUCCUGGCGCACUCCCAGACCCAUCCUGUGCAUAUUUGCUGUUUAUUGCUGUUAUUGCUGGUUAAACUGUAAGUGUUGGUGUGGAGGAUUACUCUAUCCUGACACACUUUUUGUUCUUAGCCUUAGCUAGUAUUAUUUUCCCUACAGGUCACUUCAGAUACUGUUCUUCUUAACCAUUCAGCUACUACUAGUAGCAUUACUUCAUUGGGCCCAGUAUUUUUGACCCUGAGUGUACUUGGGUAUAUAAUUCCCUGUGGGCUAAUAUUAUUGCUAAAAUGCAAGAUCAGAAUGAGAGACCUGCAGGGUCUGUGUGUUCCACACCAGGGGUUUCCCCCUCAGGCAGGGAAUGUAAGGAUGACGCCAGCCUCAUGGCAUCGGAGGAAUUUCAAUCCCUCCUCGAUUCUACCAUGGCGCAAUCCAUCAACAAGGCGUUGGCCUCCGCGAUGGGGGUCAUGUCAUCCUCUGUCACACAAUCUAUAACCAGAGGACUGAUGCAAUCUCAGAGUAGUGGCCGUCGG